GCGCCCUUCGGUUCGGAAUAACUCAGGGAAACUUGGGCUAAUACCGGAUACGCCCUUACGGGGAAAGAUUUAUUGCCGAAGGAACGGCCCGCGUCCGAUUAGCUUGUUGGUGAGGUAACGGCUCACCAAGGCGACGAUCGGUAGCUGGUCUGAGAGGAUGACCAGCCUCACUGGGACUGAGACACGGCCCAGACUCCUACGGGAGGCAGCAGUGGGGAAUAUUGGACAAUGGGCGCAAGCCUGAUCCAGCCAUGCCGCGUGGGUGAUGAAGGCCCUAGGGUUGUAAAGCCCUUUCAGCGGGGAAGAUAAUGACGGUACCCGCAGAAGAAGCCCCGGCUAACUUCGUGCCAGCAGCCGCGGUAAUACGAAGGGGGCUAGCGUUGCUCGGAAUUACUGGGCGUAAAGCGCACGUAGGCGGAUUGUUAAGUCGGGGGUGAAAUCCUGGAGCUCAACUCCAGAACUGCCUUCGAUACUGGCGAUCUCGAGUUCGGGAGAGGUGAGUGGAACUG
rnacentral:rRNA from 2 species